UGACGAUGAUGAUAAAACUAAGGCUUGUUUCCCAAAACAUUCGCAGUUGUCGCCUACGAGCUGUUUUGCCCUGCCAGGCUUGAGUGCUAAUGCUGCUAAUUCCUUCCUUGAAUGUCUGAGCCA